UACGUAGGGUCCGAGCGUUGUCCGGAGUUACUGGGCGUAAAGCGCGCGCAGGCGGCUCGUCAAGUCUGGCGUGAAAGCCCCCGGCUCAACCGGGGAGGGUCGUCGGAGACUGGCGAGCUUGAGGGCGGUAGGGGCUGGUGGAAUUCCCGGUGUAGUGGUGAAAUGCGUAGAGAUCGGGAGGAACACCUGUGGCGAAGGCGGCCAGCUGGGCCGUCCCUGACGCUGAGGCGCGAAGGCGUGGGGAGCGAACGGG
rnacentral:rRNA from 1 species